rnacentral:rRNA from 1 species
AGGACGAACGCUGGCGGCGUGCUUAACACAUGCAAGUCGAGCGGAAAGGCCCUUCGGGGUACUCGAGCGGCGAACGGGUGAGCAACACGUGAGUAACCUGCCCUGGACUUUGGGAUAACCCUCGGAAACGGGGGCUAAUACCGGAUACGACUUUCCUCGCAUGAGGUUUGGUGGAAAGUUUUUCGGUCUGGGAUGGGCUCGCGGCCUAUCAGCUUGUUGGUGGGGUGAUGGCCUACCAAGGCGACGACGGGUAG